rnacentral:rRNA from 1 species
AUGGAUCUUAAUACUAUUCAUCUUGGACAUCCUCUUAUUAUUCUGGGUAGGAAUAGGACAGCUGCUUAUAGCUUUAUUAUCAAUAAGUUAAAAGCCAAACUUAACAUCUCCAAGGCCAAUAGGCUCUCUCAUGCAGGAAGGCUUACUCUUAUCAAAUCGGUCUUUGCUUCCUUGCCGGUUUACUAUAUGUCUAAUAUCCUCUUAAGCAAGUCCAUCAUAAAAAAACUCACUUCCACUGUUAGGAAAUUUUGGUGGACGGGAAUUCAAAAGGAUGAUAAGGCAAAGCCUAUUUGCUUCAGAGCUUGGGAUGAUAUCUGCAGACCUAUGCAUAAAGGAGGACUGGGUAUUAGGAAUUUAGCUAUCAUGAACAAAUCCCUAGUUACUAAUAUGGCUUGGAAUAUCAUUAGUAAUCCCUCGUCUUUAAUUUCUAAGGUUCUUAAAGCCAAAUAUUUUCAUAAUUCCACCAUAUGGAAACCUAAUCUUUAUUAUCCCAAAUCUGCGUAUUGGACCUCCUUUAUGAAAGUUCUUCCUGAUAUUAUUAAUUCUUGUAAUAUACAAAUUGCUAAAGGAAACACUUCCAUCUGGAACAAUCCUUGGUGCAAAGGAUGGGAAAAAAAUUAUGAUCAUGUCAAGCCCAACCUAAAUGGUCCUUGUCCAAACAUCAUUAGUGAUCUUUGGAAACCUAAUUCUAAAGUUUGGGAUGAAGAUAAGCUCAGUGCCUAUUUUGAUGAUACUUUUAAAAAUGAUGUUUUAAAUACUCCUGUCAUAAAUGCUGAGCUUGAUGAUACCUUGUCCUGGAUUCACACUCCAAAUGCAAAAUGUACUACUAAAAGUGCUUACAAAGUUUUUAUGCAGGAUAUCCAGGAUAAUACAACGAUCCAAAGACCUCUUGUGACCAACCAGGAGAUAGCUAUUCUUUACUAG